rnacentral:rRNA from 1 species
CCUACGGGUGGCAGCAGUGGGGAAUAUUGGGCAAUGGGCGCAAGCCUGACCCAGCAACGCCGCGUGAGGGAAGAAGGCUUUCGGGUUGUAAACUUCUUUUAUGAGGGACGAAAAAAAUGACGGUAGCUCAUGAAUAAGCCACGGCUAACUACGUGCCAGCCGCCGCGGUACUACGUAGGGGGCAAGCGUUAUGCGGAUUUACUGGGUGUAAAGGGGGAGUAGGCGGGACGGCAAGUCUGAUGUGAAACUUAUGGGCUCAACCCAUGACCUGCAUUGGAAACUGUAGUGCUGGAGUGCUGGAGAGGCAGGCGGAAUUCCGUGUGUAGCGGUGAAAUGCGUAGAUAUACGGAGGAACACCAGUGGCGAAGGCGGCCUGCUGGACAUUAACUGACGCUGAGGCGCGAAAGCGUGGGGAGCAAACAGGAUUAGAUACCCUAGUAGUC